rnacentral:misc_RNA from 1 species
UCUCCGUUGGUGAACCAGCGGAGGGAUCAUUACAGGACUCGCAAGACUCCUACAACCCUGUGAACUUAACUAUAAGCACGUUGCUUCGGCGGGUGUCUCGGAGGAGGUUCUCCCUCCCCGAGACGCUAAACCCGCCGGCAGCCUACUAUACUCUGUCUCUUUGCGUUGGCAUCUCGAGUACAAUCAAACAAGUUAAAACUUUCAACAACGGAUCUCUUGGUUCUG